rnacentral:rRNA from 1 species
GCCAGACUCCUACGGGAGGCAGCAGUGGGGGAUAUUGCGCAAUGGGGGGAACCCUGAUGCAGCGACGCCGCGUGGGUGAAGGAGCGUUUCGGCGCGUAAAGCCCUAUCGGCAGGGAAGAAGGAGGACGGUACCUGACUAAGAAGCCCCGGCUAACUACGUGCCAGCAGCCGCGGUAAUACGUAGGGGGCAAGCGUUAUCCGGAUUUACUGGGUGUAAAGGGGGCGCAGACGGCAGCGCAAGCCAGGAGUGAAAGCCCGGGGCCCAACCCCGGGACUGCUCUUGGAACUGCGCGGCUGGAGUGCAGGAGGGGCAGGCGGAAUUCCUGGUGUAGCGGUGAAAUGCGUAGAUAUCAGGAGGAACACCGGUGGCGAAGGCGGCCUGCUGGACUGCGACUGACGUUGAGGCCCGAAAGCGUGGGGAGCAAACAGGAUUAGAUACCCCCGUAU